rnacentral:rRNA from 1 species
GGGGGCAACCCUGACGAGCAACGCCGCGUGAGUGAGGAAGGUUUUCGGCAUCGUAAAGCUCUGUUGUAAGUCAAGAACGAGUGUGAGAGUGGAAAGUUCACACUGUGACGGUAGCUUACCAGAAAGGGACGGCUAACUACGUGCCAGCAGCCGCGGUAAUACGUAGGGUGCAAGCGUUAUCCGGAAUUAUUGGGCGUAAAGGGCUCGUAGGCGGUUCGUCGCGUCCGGUGUGAAAGUCCAUCGCUUAACGGUGGAUCCGCGCCGGGUACGGGCGGGCUUGAGUGCGGUAGGGGAGACUGGAAUUCCCGGUGUAACGGUGGAAUGUGUAGAUAUCGGGAAGAACACC